AUCGGAGAAGAACGAAAUGAAACAAAAAUCCAUCAUCACCAAUGAUUCCAAACCAAAAUAUCACUUCCAUGUACAACAGCGAAGCGAGAUUCAACAUUCAAUAUUCAAGAUUCCUAAGCACAAAAUCAAAACAACACGAAUCGAUCGAAUCUCCAAAAUCAAACAACAGCACCAGCAGUAGCAGCGAAACCAACUUGAAGAAGAAUCGAAUCGGAUCUACCUGGAAUAAGAAACGCGGAAUACAGAGGCGAACAGGCGAGAGAAGGCAACGCGGAAGCGAGGAUAAACUCUGAGCGUAUGAAUGGCGGUGUGACGGAGAAGAUCUUCUAGGGUUUCAACGAACAGACUGAGGCUUCGAAUCGGCGGCACAUAGAGCGUCAAUGGCACGGCCGAGAAAGCGACGGCGAAGAACAGCUGAAGCAUUGGAGCUUUGGUUGGCUGAGAGAUGAACAAGUGCG
rnacentral:misc_RNA from 1 species